GGAUGUGAGAGUGAUCUGCCUGCAACAUUUGUCACCCCAUUGAUCUCCAGGGUUGAUUUGGCUGAUCUGGCUGGCUAGGCGGGUGUCCCCUUCCUUCCUCACCACUCCAUGUGCGUCCCUCCCGAAGCUGCAUGUUUGGUCGAAGAGGACGGCCUUCCCCGAAUAGAGGCAGAGCAGUCUUUGGUCAAGGGUAUAAGAGUAACUGCGCUCCCCUGCUGGAACCUCCAAACAAGCUCUCAAGAAUAGGAAAGCUAUCAGGGGAGGGAAUGUGAUAUGGAGUUCUGGUGGUGGGAAUUGUGUGGAGUUGUACCCCUUUUAUC
ensembl:misc_RNA 7SK 7SK RNA